ACUGCUGAUUCAAACUGCAGUGCCUCAGAGUGCAUUAGGACAAUCUCAGUGGGCAUCACCUAGUGUGUGGCAUGUUGGGAUGCUGUAGAUAAUCCCCCCAGCCCCAGCUUGCUGCUCAAUGGAAAAGCUCCACAUACUACCUAAGGUGAGACACCCUGAGGCCUGACCCAAGGCUGCCACUGUCAGAAGAAGGAGCAGAGGAGUUCAAGUUGUGUGACACUUGUGGACUGUUACCUUGGGUUAUGUAAUACCAGAGACCAUUCUAAGGCCUUUAAACAGCCCAUGAGAAGAGUGUCAUCCCGUAUCCAUGACUGAAUAAACAUUCUGCUCAGGUUUCACUGGGGACAAUAUUUGG